rnacentral:rRNA from 1 species
GACGAACGCUGGCGGCGUGCCUAAUACAUGCAAGUAGAACGCAGUUGCGAACGGGUGAGUAACGCGUAGGUACCUGCCUCAUAGCGGGGGAUCACUAAUGGGGACGAUAGAUAAUACCGCAUACUGUGAGAUGGACCUGCGGUGUAUUAGCUAGUUGGUGAGGUAAAGGCUCACCAGGGCGUCGAUCCAUAGCCGACCUGAGAGGGUGAUCUGCCACACUUGAACUGAGACACGGCCCAGACUCCUACGGGAGGCAGCAGUGGGGAAUCUUCGGCAAUGGACGAAAGGCAGACCGAGCAACGCCGCGUGUGUGAAGAAGGUUUUCGGAUCGUAAAGCUCUGUAGUUAGAGAGGCGUUACCUAACCAGAAAGCCACGGCUAACUUCGUGCCAGCCGCCGCGGUAAUUC